UUAGUUAAGUUAGAAAGGGCGCACGGUGGAUGCCUUGGCACUAGGAGCCGAUGAAGGACGGGAUUAACACCGAUAUGCUUUGGGGAGCUGUAAGUAAGCUUUGAUCCAGAGAUUUCCGAAUGGGGAAACCCUCUAUCCGUAAUGGGAUAGAAUCUUUACCUGAAUACAUAGGGUACUGAAGGCAGACCCGGGGAACUGAAACAUCUAAGUACCCGGAGGAAGAGAAAGCAAACGCGAUUCCCUGAGUAGCGGCGAGCGAAACGGGAUUAGCCCAAACCAAGAGGCUUGCCUCUUGGGGUUGUAGGACACUCUAUAUGGAGUUACAAAGGAACGGGGUAGACGAAUCGAUCUGGAAAGGUCAGUCGUAGAAGGUAAAAACCCUGUAGUCGAAACUUCGUUCCCUCUUGAGUGUAUCCUGAGUACGGCGGGACACGAGAAAU
rnacentral:rRNA from 2 species